GAGUUUGAUCCUGGCUCAGAAUCAACGCUGGCGGCGUGCCUAACACAUGCAAGUCGCACGAGAAAGGGGCUUCGGCCCUGAGUACAGUGGCGCACGGGUGAGUAACACGUGAAUCAUCUACCUUCGAGUGGGGAAUAACUGGGAGAAAUCUCAGCUAAUACCGCAUAAUACCUACGGGUCAAAGCAGCAAUGCGCUUGAAGAGGAGUUCGCGGCAGAUUAGUUAGUUGGCGGGGUAAUGGCCCACCAAGACGAUGAUCUGUAUCCGGCCUGAGAGGGCGCACGGACACACUGGAACUGAAACACGGUCCAGACUCCUACGGGAGGCAGCAGUGGGGAAUUUUGCGCAAUGGGGGAAACCCUGACGCAGCAACGCCGCGUGGAGGAUGAAAUCCCUUGGGAUGUAAACUCCUUUCGAUCGGGACGAUUAUGACGGUACCGGAAGAAGAAGCCCCGGCUAACUUCGUGCCAGCAGCCGCGGUAAUACGAGGGGGGCAAGCGUUGUUCGGAAUUAUUGGGCGUAAAGGGCGCGUAGGCGGUUUGACAAGUCUGAUGUGAAAUCUAUGGGCUCAACCCAUAGCCUGCAUUAGAAACUGUCGGGCUUGAGUAUGGGAGAGGUGAGUGGAAUUUCCGGUGUAGCGGUGAAAUGCGUAGAUAUCGGAAGGAACACCUGUGGCGAAAGCGGCUCACUGGACCAUAACUGACGCUGAGGCGCGAAAGCUAGGGGAGCAAACAGGAUUAGAUACCCUGGUAGUCCUAGCCCUAAACGAUGAUUGCUUGGUGUGACAG
rnacentral:rRNA from 1 species